rnacentral:rRNA from 1 species
CAGCAGCCGCGGUAAUACGGAGGGUGCAAGCGUUAAUCGGAAUUACUGGGCGUAAAGCGCACGCAGGCGGUUUGUUAAGUCAGAUGUGAAAUCCCCGGGCUCAACCUGGGAACUGCAUUUGAAACUGGCAAGCUAGAGUCUCGUAGAGGGGGGUAGAAUUCCAGGUGUAGCGGUGAAAUGCGUAGAGAUCUGGAGGAAUACCGGUGGCGAAGGCGGCCCCCUGGACAAAGACUGACGCUCAGGUGCGAAAGCGUGGGGAGCAAACAGGAUUAGAUACCCCUGUAGUCCCUGUCUCUUAUAC